rnacentral:lncRNA from 1 species
GGGAAGAUUGGCGUGGAGUUGAUGAGUGCUAGUUGAGGCAAAAAUGCAUAAACUGGAACUGGUAUGGACCAAAAAGGCCAUGAAAUGUAGUGAAUAUAACAAAGGGCUUGAAGAAGGUUUAAAGAUUUGAGUCCGAAGGUUAGGGGGCUAAACUUGCAACAUAUAAUUUCGAAGUAGCCNGAGGGAUAUUAAAUGCAUUUGGUUCAAGUUUGCAAUGGUGAGCUGCUUUAGGGGCUGAUUUCGGGAGGAUAUCCAGCUGAGACAACAUCAGACUCUAUAUUGUAAUAUGAUGGAGAAUUAACUAGGAUUGUUUAUGGUUUAUGAUAGAGACAAGGUUAUGAAAGAUUGAAAUCAUGGAUUUGGAAUUUUAAGGAGUUAUAGAGAUAGGUAUACAUACUUUUUCAUUGUAUGGCCCUAAUAAAAAAAUUGCAGUCAUUAAACUCGGCACUCCUGAGUAAAUUUAUAUGUAAAACUGGACCAAUCAGUUAAGUGUAGGAUCAGAUCACAAGAGUAAAUUUAGGAGAACGGUUGGAUUUCCAAUUGACAUUAGUAUCCUCAUAAUAUAUUUGGAUAUAGUGGGGGUUCGAUUAAGCAUAGCAGCGGUUCCAAAAAACUCCAAGUGCUUUUUUAUAAUUAAAGAUCAAUUUGGACCAUAUCCUCUAAAUUAGCAUAUAUAAAUAAGUUGGGCUGCUGUGCAGAGUAUCUCUAUAUCACAAAUAGUAAUGCCUCUACAUCUGUAAAUCCAGUUAAUUGGUUUUCCCAGUAGACAUCAUUUUAAAUAUCCUGUUGUAAUUUAUUAGGUUAUGUAAAAGGCAUGCUACCCUUUUGCAACCUCCACAAGUACAAAUGUGAUCUGCAAAGAAUGUUAUCAUCUAUAGCUUUUUGUAAAUAGGGGACGAGACAGUUUUUUUUACCACUAGUUCCCAAUGCUACCAAAAUCAUAGCAUAGUUAAGAUGACUUUAUCCUGAACUAGUUAAAAGGCCUAUUUUACUGGUGUCCAUAUGUUUAUUCAACGCAGAGCAAGAGAUAAACCCCUUAUUCACACAUAUGUCCAUAUGUUUAUUCAACGUAGAGCAAGAGAUAAACCCCUUAUUCACACAUAUGAAAAUAGAUAAAAUUAGUUGUGAUUAUUUCACAAUAAAUUGUCAGUUGGUGUUAAAAUUUCUUGAUUUCGUGCUUGAUAUACUACCAUAAUUAGACAAAGGCUUUAAAACUUUUUUUGAACAUGUGCUUUCUCAGUUGCUUGUUGCUGGAGGUGGAAUGUAUAUAGAGGUAUUCAACCGAGGUGUCAUUCCACUGGCUUACAGCAUCAAGAAGAAAAACAAGGCAGGAGAGACCAACACUUACCUCGAUGGUAUUUACCUGUUAUUUACCUAUUUUACCAAACCCGAAUCUAUGGAAGUCCUUGAAGAAACAUUGAUUACAGAUGAUGAAGUUAUCCGCUCAUCUACGUUCAAGAUAAGGAAAAGGAAAUACUAGAUGAUGAAAAUUUGUAACAUCAUAAUGUACUUUUAGGAAAAAGGUUCUUCCAUGGAUGUUUCCUCCUUUUGUGUAGUCAAAAUCUAUUUAUGUAAUUCCAAUAUAAUUGAUAUCAUGUGUUGCGGAUAUAUACAAUUGCUAGAUGCAGAAGAGGUUGUUUGCCUGAUAUUCCUUUACAUCUAUGUUAUAUUUACCAGAAAUAAGUAGGCAGAGAACAGUUUUCUGAAGAAGAAUUUAUCUGCCUUUACUCAGUGGCAUCAGCUGGAAUCAAAAACUAACAUCUUAGCAAGGCCUAAAAUAGUAAAGGAAAUACUAUACAAAGCACCAAAACAAGAGCUACUGAUGCCAAGGUAAUCUUCAAGGGCAUCUUUCCUUUAUCAGUCCGCAAGAUUAUGGCUUCAUAUAGUGGCCAGCUAUGUACAACCACAUAACCUGUCAAACAGAUCUGUAAACAUACAUUUUCAAACCUUUCUUUCCCAAAUAUGGCUUGUUCUAUUCCACUUGAAAACGCAACUAAGUUGAUUAUGGCUGCCAUGGUAAUUGUCAAGAACAUUGGUGAUGAAACGCCAAACACGAAAUAUCCUUUGUCAUAUCGGCUAGUCUGUUCAUCAUCAACCACCUUACUUGUCACGUUGAACCCGGUUGCUGAGAAGCCAAAACAUCCGAGUAUGUAUUCAAGCAUUGCAAAUGGAAAGCUUGUAAGUCCCCUUAUCAACCAGCUUUUCUGAUAAUUCCACCAUUUUGGAAUAGUUCCUCCAGUUGUCAUGUAGUCUAUGAAUUCUUGCAUGAUUGCUCCAACAAACAGAAAUGCAUACAAGUAAAACCAUGGAUCUGAUACCUGUACUCAGAGCCUACUAAUCAAUAUCUGUGAGACAAUUCUACAUAAGAACUGAAAUAAUAUAGCCAACUGUUAUGUUUAAUCAAUGUAAACACACCUUUGGGAAGAUUGGCGUGGAGUUGAUGAGUGCUAGUUGAGGCAAAAAUGCAUAAACUGGAACUGGUAUGGACCAAAAAGGCCAUGAAAUGUAGUGAAUAUAACAAAGGGCUUGAAGAAGGUUUAAAGAUUUGAGUCCGAAGGUUAGGGGGCUAAACUUGCAACAUAUAAUUUCGAAGUAGCCCAUGAACCAUCGUUUACUUUGACAAAGCAUAUCGUUGAGGGCUAUAGGAGAGCUCCCAAGAAACGCAGGUCGUUUAGGGUAGCAUAAGAU